CCUACGGGAGGCAGCAGUGAGGAAUAUUGGUCAAUGGGCGCGAGCCUGAACCAGCCAAGUAGCGUGAAGGAUGACUGCCCUACGGGUUGUAAACUUCUUUUAUAAAGGAAUAAAGUGAGGCACGUGUGCCUUUCUGUAUGUACUUUAUGAAUAAGGAUCGGCUAACUCAGUGCCAGUAGCCGCGGUAAUACGGAGGAUCCGAUCGUUAUCCGGAUUUAUUGGGUUUAAAGGGAGCGUAGAUGGGUUGUUAAGUCAGUUGUGAAAGUUUGCGGCUCAACCGUAAAAUUGCAAUUGAUACUGGCAGCCUUGAGUGCAGUUGGGGUAGGCGGAAUUCGUGGUGUAGCGGUGAAAUGCUUAGAUAUCACGAAGAACUCCGAUUGCGAAGGCAGCUUACUAAACUGCAACUGACAUUGAUGCUCGAAAGUGUGGGUAUCAAACAGGAUUAGAUACCCCUGUAGUC
rnacentral:rRNA from 1 species